CGGGUGCACUGAUCCGGCCGGGCCUUUCCCUCUGUGGAACCCCAUGGCCUUCACUGGCUGUGCGGGGGAAACAGGACUUUUACUGUGAAAAAAUUAGAGUGCUCCAGGCAGGCCUAUGCUCGAAUACAUUAGCAUGGAAUAAUAGAAUAGGACGCGUGGUUCUAUUUUGUUGGUUUCUAGGACCGCCGUAAUGAUUAAUAGGGACAGUCGGGGGCAUCAGUAUUCAAUUGUCAGAGGUGAAAUUCUUGGAUCUAUUGAAGACUAACUACUGCGAAAGCAUUUGCCAAGGAUGUUUUCAUUGAUAAGGAACGAAAGUUAGGGGAUCGAAGACGAUCAGAUACCGUCGUAGUCUUAACUAUAAACUAUGCCGACUAGGGAUCGGACGAUGUUAUUUCUUGACGCGUUCAGCACCUUUCGAGAAAUCAAAGUGCUUGGGCUCCAGGGGGAGUAUGGUCGCAAGGCUGAAACUUAAAGAAAUUGACGGAAGGGCACCACCAGGGGUGGAACCUGCGGCUUAAUUUGACUCAACACGGGGAAACUCACCAGGUCCAGACACAGUGAGGAUUGACAGAUUGAGAGCUCUUUCUUGAUUCUGUGGGUGGUGGUGCAUGGCCGUUCUUAGUUGGUGGAGUGAUUUGUCUGCUUAAUUGCGAUAACGAACGAGACCUUAACCUGCUAAAUAGCCCGUACUGCUCUGGCAGUUCGCCGGCUUCUUAGAGGGACUAUCGG
rnacentral:rRNA from 1 species